GACUAUUGUCAUAUCACUCUGCAGCCUAAGACCGGUUACUUACUGAAGCUAAGCAGGACUAAGCCUGGUCAGUACCUGCAUGGGAGACCACAUAGGAAAACUAGGUAGCUGUUGAAA
ensembl:rRNA 5S_rRNA 5S ribosomal RNA